CAGCAGUAGGGAAUUUUCCGCAAUGGGCGAAAGCCUGACGGAGCAAUACCGCGUGAGGGAAGAAUGCCUAUGGGUUGUAAACCUCUUUUUUCAGGGAGGAACAUAAUGACGUGUACCUGAAGAAUAAGCAUCGGCUAACUCCGUGCCAGCAGCCGCGGUAAGACGGAGGAUGCAAGUGUUAUCCGGAAUCACUGGGCGUAAAGCGUCUGUAGGUGGUUUAAUAAGUCAACUGUUAAAUCUUGAGGCUCAACCUCAAAAUCGCAGUCGAAACUAUUAGACUAGAGUAUAGUAGGGGUAAAGGGAAUUUCCAGUGGAGCGGUGAAAUGCGUAGAGAUUGGAAAGAACACCGAUGGCGAAAGCACUUUACUGGGCUAUUACUGACACUCAGAGACGAAAGCUAGGGUAGCAAAUGGGAUUAGAUACCCCAGUAGUCCUAGCUGUAAACUAUGGAUACUAGAUGUUGAACAGAUCGACCUGUGCAGUAUCAAAGCUAACGCGUUAAGUAUCCCGCCUGGGAAGUAUGCUCGCAAGGGUGAAACUCA
rnacentral:rRNA from 1 species